rnacentral:rRNA from 1 species
GAUGAACGCUGGCGGCGUGCCUAAUACAUGCAAGUCGAGCGAACAGAUGAGGCGCUUGCUCCGCUGACGUUAGCCGAAGAGGGGUGAGUAACACGUGUAUACCCUCCCUAUAAGACUGAGAUAACUUCGAGAAACCGGAGCUUAUACCGGAUGAUAUAUUGAACCGCAUGGGUCGAUGGUAAAAUACGGUUGUUCUGGCACUUAUAGCGGGAUCCCCGCCGCUUUAGCUAGUUGGUAAGGUAACGGCUUACGAAGGCGAGGAUGCGUAGCCGAACUGAGAGGGUGAUAGGCCACACUGGAACGGAGACACGGUCCAGAGUCCUACGGGAGGCAGCAGUAGGGAAUCGUCCGCAAUGGGGGAAAGCAUUACGGAGCAACGCCGAGUGAGUGAUGAAGGUCUUGGGAUCGUAAAAACGUGUUAUUAGGGAAGAACAACUGUGUAAUGAAAUAUGCCCGUAUUGACGGUAACUAAUCAGAAAGCAACGGCUAACUACGUG